ensembl:lncRNA
CCCGCACACUGACUCGGUACCGGUACCCCCUGUAUAUAGGCUCCACACUGACUCGGUACCGGUACCCCCUGUAUAUAGCCUCCACACUGACUAGGUACCGGUACCCCCUGUAUAUAGCCUCCACACUGACUCGGUACCGGUACCCCCUGUAUAUAGCCUCCACACUGACUCGGUACCGGUACCCCCUGUAUAUAGCCUCCACACUGACUCGGUACCGGUACCCCCUGUAUAUAGCCUCCACACUGACUAGGUACCGGUACCCCCUGUAUAUAGCCUCCACACUGACUCGGUACCGGUACCCCUGUAUAUAGCCUCCACACUGACUCGGUACCGGUACCCCCUGUAUAUAGCGUCCACACUGACUAGGUACUGGUACCCCCUGUAUAUAGCCUCCACACUGACUCGGUACCGGUACCCCUAUAUAUAGCCU